rnacentral:rRNA from 1 species
UGAACGCUAGCUACAGGCUUAACACAUGCAAGUCGAGGGGCAGCGGGAUUGAAGCUUGCUUCAAUUGCCGGCGACCGGCGCACGGGUGAGUAACGCGUAUCCAACCUGCCCAUCACUUGGGGAUAACCUUGCGAAAGUAAGACUAAUACCCAAUGACGUCUCUAGAAGACAUCUGAAAGAGAUUAAAGAUUUAUCGGUGAUGGAUGGGGAUGCGUCUGAUUAGCUUGUUGGCGGGGUAACGGCCCACCAAGGCGACGAUCAGUAGGGGUUCUGAGAGGAAGGUCCCCCACAUUGGAACUGAGACACGGUCCAAACUCCUACGGGAGGCAGCAGUGAGGAAUAUUGGUCAAUGGACGAGAGUCUGAACCAGCCAAGUAGCGUGCAGGAUGACGGCCCUAUGGGUUGUAAACUGCUUUUAUAAGGGAAUAAAGUGAGUCUCGUGAGACUUUUUGCAUGUACCUUAUGAAUAAGGACCGGCUAAUUCCGUG